rnacentral:rRNA from 1 species
GACGUAGGGCGCGAGCGUUGUCCGGAUUUAUUGGGCGUAAAGAGCUCGUAGGCGGCUUGUUGCGUUGACUGUGAAAACCCGCGGCUUAACUGCGGGCUUGCAGUUGAUACGGGCAGGCUAGAGUUCGGUAGGGGAGACUGGAAUUCCUGGUGUAGCGGUGAAAUGCGCAGAUAUCAGGAGGAACACCGGUGGCGAAGGCGGGUCUCUGGGCAGUAACUGACGCUGAGGAGCGAAAGCGUGGGGAGCGAACAGG